AAAACCUCACUUUAAAAUUAUUGAAAUGUAAAAGUAUAAUAUGAUCAAAAGUAAAUAUCCAUUAAGCAAAAUAAUAAAAAGCGCAUUGGUGAUGGGAGGCAAGUGCCCCCACUCAGCCACUGUAAUUGCGUAAUGCAUUGUGAUUUCACGUGAACCUAAUAGUGAUAACUGACAAUACAGUAUUAUGUGGUAUGAAUUGAUUUUAGUCUUCAACUUCAAACUUCGCAGUUAUUAAAUUUUUCCAUAUAACAUAAGGAUUAAGAACUAGAAAUCAUUCCUGGUUACGAUUAAUUACAUCUUUAACAGAAUUAACGCCUUGGCAUUUACUUAGAACAAGGAUCAACAGAAACUUCGACAUUUUCUUCACUUUUUCGAUUAACAUACACCAUCCAAUAUGAAGAACUUUUAGUUUGAAAAUUUUUUAACAUAUUUCUAAACAACCCGUACCAAAUGAAGCCGAUGACUACACAUAUGACGAUUUCUACAUAGUAACCAUCCACAGUUAAGUCUUCGGAUGUAAGCAGAACGGGAAACACGGAACCUAACAUAAUGCCAAUUGCAAAACCCGAAGAACUGCACACAGACGAAUAACCCAAAUUGGCUCUAUUAAAAACAAUGUUCACUGUGAUUAACAAUGUGUUUUUAUAACGUCAAAAUAAUUAUUAUUUUACUCACUUUUUCAGCAUCGUCAGUGCCCAACUGUCGACAACUAUGUUCUGCGUUGAAGCCAACAGAUUAAGGACGAAGAACACGCACGUUAGCAUUACUAUGUUAGGUUUACCUGUUUCAGGAAUCCAGUCAUUGAUGUUAUUCGCCGAAAAAAGUAAUAUUGAAAUGAUGAAUGAUUACCCAUUAAGUAUUGAACUGGCAGGAGCCAAGAUUUUCGUUUUCCGAUCCAUUGUACAUAAUGAACGUCUACCAAUGGAGCCCAAAAUAGUUUCAGGCUAUUGGGCCAUAGUACGUAACUAAAUAAUGCCUAAAUCAAAUCGUAUAAUGAUUAUAUAAUAUAGGUAUAUCGUAUAUCAAAUGAAAUAGUUGGUAACUUUAUGAAAUUGUGAGACUAUAGUCUAGUGUAUACACUCUCACUAAACUUGCAGUCUCGUGAUGUUUUUUUGUUGCAAAUUACAUAUAAUAUAAGUAAUUAAAUAUUUAGCAGUAAUAUGACUGAUAUAAGUAGGCACACUUAAAAAAUAUUAUUGAAUGUUAAUUUAUAAAAACAGCUUAUAUUUUUCUCAAGUUGAGUAAUGGAAAAUUUUUUUGAAUUCACCAAUGAUUCAAAAAUAACAGCCCAAGGGUGUAUUAUAUUAUAAUAUUUAUAUAAGAAGCAAUUAAAAAAAUUAUUCCAGUCGGAGUUAUAAUUUACAUUUUCUGUGCUAGUAAAAUUCGAUUUAACAUAUGGUUUUAGUGAUUUUUCGAUGAUUUACUUUGAAGUUUGAAUACGUUUCAAUACUACUUAAUAUAUUAUUAUCAUCGUCAAAUUGAAAAGUGGAACCUAAUUUUGUUGUGCUUGAUUAACGAAGAAAUAAUAUAUGUUAAUGUUUAACUUAUA